rnacentral:rRNA from 1 species
UACGUAGGGUGCGAGCGUUAAUCGGAAUACUGGGCGUAAAGCGUGCGCAGGCGGUGAUGUAAGACGGAUGUGAAAUCCCCGGGCUCAACCUGGGAACUGCAUUUGUGACUGCAUCGCUGGAGUGCGGCAGAGGGGGAUGGAAUUCCGCGUGUAGCAGUGAAAUGCGUAGAUAUGCGGAGGAACACCGAUGGCGAAGGCAAUCCCCUGGGCCUGCACUGACGCUCAUGCACGAA